GUGAGGAAUAUUGCACAAUGGAGGAAACUCUGAUGCAGCAACGCCGCGUGGAGGAUGACGCAUUUCGGUGUGUAAACUCCUUUUAAGAGGGAAGAUUAUGACGGUACCUCUUGAAUAAGCACCGGCUAACUCGGUGCCAGCAGCCGCGGUAAUACGGAGGGUGCAAGCGUUACUCGGAAUCACUGGGCGUAAAGGGUGCGUAGGCUGACUUUUAAGUCAGGCGUGAAAUCCAAUGGCUUAACCAUUGAACUGCGCUUGAAACUGGGAGUCUAGGGUUCAGAAGGGGCAGAUGGAAUUAGUGGUGUAGGGGUAAAAUCCGUAGAUAUCACUAGGAAUAUCAAAAGCGAAGGCGAUCUGCUGGUAUGAUACUGACGCUGAGGCACGAAAGCGUGGGGAGCAAACAGGAUUAGAAACCCCUGUAGUCC
rnacentral:rRNA from 1 species